AUGACAACAUUUUUUUCAAAUAUAUUUUUUAAAAGAUUGGCUUCUGCUGCCCUGCCUCAAUUUGGGACACCUUUGAAGGGCUACCCCAACUCCUGUGCUCCCCAGGGGGGCCGAGGUCUCCGUUGUAACCACAUCAAGGACCAGCUUCUCCCUUUGCCCGCCUCUUGCCACGGUCCUCCUGGAACGUCUCUAGAGAAGGUGCCCCCGGAACCUUCUGUAGGUUGGAUCGUGAAUGGUACCCCUAGAAUUGUUCGUGGUACAGCCUGUGAAACCCCAUCCAGCCGCACUGGGAAGAAGGCUUAAAGUAAGUCACUUGCAAAUCUAAGUAAACUUUGGGAAGCAUUCUCCAAAUUGUGUUCUAUGGAGUACUAAUUCUUCAGAAUUUUAAUAGAUAAUGAAAAGUUCAUUGAAUUAAGGAGUUAAAGAGACGCCAAGUUCAUGAGGACCUCUGCAGGACUUCUCAGAGCCUUUAGUAUACUAAUCUGUGCAGUAAAUAUCCAAGAGGGGAGUGUAGAAAGAGAUACUAUCCAAAUAUAUUUGAUAAUAGAGUUACGUGCAAAAUUACAUUUUGAGAAAAGCUAUCUCAGUGCAAAAUGAGAAGCAAGCCAUCUUUCUUCUUUCAAGACUUGGUCACAUUCAUUUGGCAAAUCAUUACUGAGCACCUACUCUGUGCCAGAUACUGUACAAGGGGCUGGAGAUAGACAGAUAAGAAAAAUAUAGGCAAGUUCUAUGCUUCUGAUGCUUAUGCUAUAAUGAAGGAAAGACAUCAAACCGGUAAUCACACAAUCAAAUAUAGUUUCCCCUUGAACAACAUGGAUUUGAACUGCAUGAUUCUGCUUACAAGUGGUUUUUUUUUUUUUUUUUUUCAGUGAAUAUAGUACUUGGCUUUUCAUUUUACAGAUCUUAACUAAAUGUGGGGAAAAAUUUGUGUUUGAUUAGCAAUCACAAUAUGCGGAAUCAGGAGAACAAGGGUUUGAAUCCUGAUUCUUCCCAAAUUCUUUCAACUUCCUGCCCUUAGUGAGUCACAGUUCAAAGUAAUGCUUCUGAUGUCUUGCAUGUUAACAAAUUAAAUAUGGACACUGGAAUCCUG
rnacentral:lncRNA from 1 species